rnacentral:rRNA from 1 species
GGGCCCGCACAAGCGGUGGAGCAUGUGGCUUAAUUCGAUGCAACGCGAAGAACCUUACCAGGCCUUGACAUGCAUUAGACCGACACUGAAAGGUGUCUUUCCCGCAAGGGACUGAUGCACAGGUGCUGCAUGGCUGUCGUCAGCUCGUGUCGUGAGAUGUUGCGUUAAGUCGCGCAACGAGCGCAACCCCUGUCCUUAGUUGCCAUCAUUAAGUUGGGCACUCUAGGGAGACAAACCCUCUUUGAGGGUGGGAAGGUGGGGAUGACGUCAAGUCAGGAUGGCCCUUACGGCCUGGGCUGCACACGUGCUACAAUGCCCGAUACAGAGGGAUGCGAAACCGCGAGGUGGAGCAAAUCUUCAAAAUCGGGCCCAGUUCAGAUUGCAGUCUGCAACUCGACUGCAUGAAGCCGGAAUCGCUAGUAAUGGCGUAUCAGCUACGACGCCGUGAAUACGUUCCCGGGCCUU